rnacentral:misc_RNA from 1 species
GAAAUGCGAUACGUAGUGUGAAUUGCAGAAUUCCGUGAAUCAUCGAAUCUUUGAACGCAUAUUGCACUCGAGGCCUCGGCCAAGAGUAUGCCUGUCUCAGCGUCAGCUCACCCCUCGCCCCACCCCGACCCGCUUCGGCGGACCGGGCCCUGGGACGGAUGUGGCCGUCUCGGCACUUGAAACACAGUGCCGGGUCGGCUGAAGCACAGGGCUCGCUGCCGGUCACCCCCUCUCUCAGCACGGGGCGCCAGCUUGGUAGGUGGCUUUGUAAGCUGCAUGCCGCUGUCGCACCGAUCGUCUGGGCAGUGAAAGAGGCCGGUCCAGCGCGGCCAAGCAGGAAACCUGCGGGGCACCGGCUCGAAAGAGCCCGCCCCGCACACACCCUUUUGACCUGAGAUCA